rnacentral:rRNA from 1 species
AUUGAACGCUGGCGGCAGGCCUAACACAUGCAAGUCGAGCGGAUGAAGGGAGCUUGCUCCUGGAUUCAGCGGCGGACGGGUGAGUAAUGCCUAGGAAUCUGCCUGGUAGUGGGGGAUAACGUCCGGAAACGGGCGCUAAUACCGCAUACGUCCUGAGGGAGAAAGUGGGGGAUCUUCGGACCUCACGCUAUCAGAUGAGCCUAGGUCGGAUUAGCUAGUUGGUGGGGUAAAGGCCUACCAAGGCGACGAUCCGUAACUGGUCUGAGAGGAUGAUCAGUCAGACCGGAACUGAGCGAUGGACUGGACUCCUAUGGGAGGCAGCUACGGGGAAGAUUGACUAACGGGCUAAAGGAUGAUGAAGCAAUCGCGCGUGUGUGAUGACGGGCAGAGGAUGGGAAAGAACGUCUAGUUGUGAAGAACGUUAUUGCGUUAGUCCUGGGCUGCCUUGGCGGUUCCGAGGGAAUAAGCGCAGGCUAAAUGCGGG